rnacentral:lncRNA from 1 species
CACAGACAUAUGUCACAAAGCCCCAAGUAGGUAGUGCCAAGGCAGGAGAAUACUGUCACAUUACCUAGGUGCUGGAUCCUGUGAUAUGCCGCAAUCCAAUUUGUCAGCUAAGACCUCACAAAAAAGUCAAGUCACUCAGGUGCUGGGAGAUGCAGGAAGAUUCGGGGAAUGCUACCAUUUCCAUGAAAAAUGGCCGAUGUUAGCAAGCUGGAGGAUAAGAUACCAUGGGGAGGAGAAGCAAGGUGCCCCUGUUGACAGCCCCAGAAGCAGAAGCUCAUCCCCAGAAGCACAGCUGCCUAUUCAACAAACAGCUGAAGAUACAUGUCUGGAGGAGCUCAGCUGAGACAAAAAGAACAGCCUCACUGAGCCCAGCCUAAAUAGCUGACCAUCUCAAUUAUGGGCAAAUAAGUUUUGAAUGAUUUGUUAUGCUGCAAUAGCUAAUUAAUACAUGCACCCAGUGCAGACAGGAUGCCAGGAUUCAUUGACAAGUUGAUUACUAGUUCUCUUCUAACAGUGGGCACCCUAUAGGUACUGAUUUUUCCCCCUGAUUUGAAGUUGGAUGCCAAGUAAGAGAAUGCUGAGUAAUGCAGAAAUAUAUAUGGAUAUGUAUGCAUGUAAUUGGUGCCUAUACUCA